rnacentral:rRNA from 1 species
GCAUAUCAAUAAGCGGAGGAAAAGAAACUAACAAGGAUUCCCCUAGUAACGGCGAGCGAAGCGGGAAGAGCUCAAAUUUGAAAGCUGGCACCUCCGGUGUCCGCGUUGUAAUCUCGAGACGUGUUUUCCGUGCGGCUCUAUGGACAAGUCCCUUGGAAUAGGGCAUCGUAGAGGGUGAGAAUCCCGUACUUGCCAUGGAAGAACCGUGCUUUGCGAUACACGCUCUAAGAGUCGAGUUGUUUGGGAUUGCAGCUCAAAAUGGGUGGUAGACUCCAUCUAAAGCUAAAUAUCGGGGAGAGACCGAUAGCGAACAAGUACCGUGAGGGAAAGAUGAAAAGCACUUUGGAAAGAGAGUUAAAAGUACGUGAAAUUGUCGAAAGGGAAGCACUUGAAGUCAGCCAUGCUGCUUGAGACUCAGCCUGGCCUUUGGGCUUGGUGUAUUUCUCGGUGGCAAGCCAGCAUUGGUUUGGGUCGUCGGAGAAGCGCAUAGGGAAUGUAGCGUUUCCGGACGUGUUAUAGCCUUAUGCAGGAUACGACGACCUGGAUCAAGGAACGCAGUGUGCCCUCUGGGCGGGUCUUCGGACACCUUCACACUUAGGAUGCUGGCGUAAUGGCUUUAAGUGGCCCGUCUUG